UGCAAGUCGAGCGGAAACGAGUUAUCUGAACCUUCGGGGAACGAUAACGGCGUCGAGCGGCGGACGGGUGAGUAAUGCCUAGGAAAUUGCCUUGAUGUGGGGGAUAACCAUUGGAAACGAUGGCUAAUACCGCAUAAUGCCUACGGGCCAAAGAGGGGGACCUUCGGGCCUCUCGCGUCAAGAUAUGCCUAGGUGGGAUUAGCUAGUUGGUGAGGUAAUGGCUCACCAAGGCGACGAUCCCUAGCUGGUCUGAGAGGAUGAUCAGCCACACUGGAACUGAGACACGGUCCAGACUCCUACGGGAGGCAGCAGUGGGGAAUAUUGCACAAUGGGCGCAAGCCUGAUGCAGCCAUGCCGCGUGUAUGAAGAAGGCCUUCGGGUUGUAAAGUACUUUCAGCAGUGAGGAAGGGGGUGUCGUUAAUAGCGGCAUCUCUUGACGUUAGCUGCAGAAGAAGCACCGGCUAACUCCGUGCCAGCAGCCGCGGUAAUACGGAGGGUGCGAGCGUUAAUCGGAAUUACUGGGCGUAAAGCGCAUGCAGGUGGUUUGUUAAGUCAGAUGUGAAAGCCCGGGGCUCAACCUCGGAACUGCAUUUGAAACUGGCAAACUAAAGUACUGUAGAGGGGGGUAGAAUUUCAGGUGUAACGGUGAAAUGCGUANAGAUCUGAAGGAAUACCAAUGGCGAAUGCGGCCCCCUGGACAGAUACUGACACUCAGAUGCGAAAGCGUGGGGAGCAAACACGAUUAGAUACCCUGGUAAUCCACGCCGUAUACGAUGUCUACUUGGAGGUUGUGGCCUUGAGCCGUGACUUUCGUAUGUAACGCGUUAAUGAGACCGCCUGGGUAGUACGGUCGCUUUAUUAUCACUCAUAUGAAUUGACCUGGGCGCGCUUUACCCGUGGAGCAUGUGAUUUAAGUCCAUGCCCCCCGUAUAACCUUACCUGCUCGUGACGGUCCUGAGCACGUGCCUUCAUCUGCAUCUGAAUGCCUUCGAG
rnacentral:rRNA from 1 species